UGGGGAAUAUUGCACAAUGGGGGAAACCCUGAUGCAGCGACGCUGCGUGAGCGAAGAAGGCCUUCGGGUCGUAAAGCUCUUUUAUGAGGGAAGAUAAUGACGGUACCUCAAGAAAAAGCUCUGGCUAACUACGUGCCAGCAGCCGCGGUAAUAAGUAGGGGGCUAGCGUUUUCCGGAAUCACUUGGCGUAAAGGGUUCGCAGGCGGAAUAACAAGUCAGAUGUGAAAGGCAUGGGCUCAACCCAUGUAAGCAUUUGAAACUGUAAUUCUUGAGAAGUGGAGAGGUAAGUGGAAUUCCUAGUGUAGCGGUGAAAUGCGUAGAUAUUAGGAGGAAUACCGGUGGCGAAGGCGACUUUCUGGACUUUUACUGACGCUCAGGUACGAAAGCGUGGGGAGCAAACAGG
rnacentral:rRNA from 1 species